rnacentral:rRNA from 1 species
GGAAUAUUGGACAAUGGGUUAACGCCUGAUCCAGCCAUCCCGCGUGAAGGACGACGGUUCUAUGGAUUGUAAACUUCUUUUAUAUAGGGAUAAACCUACUCUCGUGAGAGUAGCUGAAGGUACUAUAUGAAUAAGCACCGGCUAACUCCGUGCCGGCAGCCGCGGUAAUACGGAGGGUGCAAGCGUUAUCCGGAUUUAUUGGGUUUAAAGGGUCCGUAGGCGGGCUUGUAAGUCAGUGGUGAAAUCCGGCAGCUCAACUGUCGAACUGCCAUUGAUACUGCAAGUCUUGAGUAAAUUAGAAGUGGCUGGAAUAAGUAGUGUAGCGGUGAAAUGCGUAGAUAUUACUUAGAACACCAAUUGCGAAGGCAGGUCACUAUGUUUUAACUGACGCUGAUGGACGAAAGCGUGGGUAGCGA